rnacentral:rRNA from 1 species
AUAUAAUUAAGUGGAGGAAAAGAAACUAACAAGGAUUCCCUUAGUAAUGGCGAAUGAACAGGGAAGAGCACAAUAUGAAAAUCGGCAGCUUUGCUGCUGAAUUGUAGUCUCAAAAAUUGCUUCUGGAGAAGGCGUACGGGCAAGUCUCUUGGAAAAGAGCGUCAGAGAAGGUGAGAACCCUGUGGUUCCUGUACAGUCCUUUUCGUAAGGAGGCAUUUUCACGAGUCGCGUUCCUUGGGACUGGAGCGCAAAAUAGGUGGUAAAUUUCAUCUAAUGCUAAAUAUCGGCGAGACCGAUAGCGCACAAGUA